GCUUAACACAUGCAAGUCGAGCGGGGGAAGGUAGCUUGCUACCGGACCUAGCGGCGGACGGGUGAGUAAUGCUUAGGAAUCUGCCUAUUAGUGGGGGACAACAUCUCGAAAGGGAUGCUAAUACCGCAUACGUCCUACGGGAGAAAGCAGGGGAUCUUCGGACCUUGCGCUAAUAGAUGAGCCUAAGUCGGAUUAGCUAGUUGGUGGGGUAAAGGCCUACCAAGGCGACGAUCUGUAGCGGGUCUGAGAGGAUGAUCCGCCACACUGGGACUGAGACACGGCCCAGACUCCUACGGGAGGCAGCAGUGGGGAAUAUUGGACAAUGGGGGGAACCCUGAUCCAGCCAUGCCGCGUGUGUGAAGAAGGCCUUAUGGUUGUAAAGCACUUUAAGCGAGGAGGAGGCUACUUUAGUUAAUACCUAGAGAUAGUGGACGUUACUCGCAGAAUAAGCACCGGCUAACUCUGUGCCAGCAGCCGCGGUAAUACAGAGGGUGC
rnacentral:rRNA from 1 species